AUCUUAAUGAAAAAAAAAAUUGCAGCAAAUUUAAUGAUUAGCUCAGAGAGAAUUCUUUGAAUUACUCCCCUCCUCUUGUUUAUUCUUUCCAGAACUAAAUCUUAGAAAACCAAAUCUACCAUAUGAUUAACCAUGGACCACAUACAAAAAUGGACCAGACAUCUUAAUGCUUAGGUGCUAUCUAUUCUUCUCUACAAAUUUUUCC
rnacentral:lncRNA from 1 species